UACGAAGGGGGCUAGCGUUGUUCGGAAUUACUGGGCGUAAAGCGCGCGUAGGCGGUGAUCUUUGUCAGAGGUGAAAUCCCGAGGCUCAACUUCGGAAUUGCCUUUGAAACGGGAUCGCUUGAGUCCGAGAGAGGAUGGCGGAAUUCCUGGUGUAGCGGUGAAAUGCGCAGAUAUCAGGAAGAACACCCGUGGCGAAGGCGGCUCUCUGGGACGGUACUGACGCUGAGACGCGAAAGCGUGGGGAGCGAACAGG
rnacentral:rRNA from 1 species